GCUGUCAAAACCCUAAUCCUAGUUCCAGCUCUCCUCUUUGUAACACCAUGGGAGACGUGGUCGAAGCUCCAACGCCGGACUUUCUCGGCGACCUCGACUUCGACCGCCUCCUGGAGGGGUUCUUCAAUGAUUCGGCUCUCGAUCUCUCCCCCGAGCUGUGGAACUCGGAGCCAUCGCCGGACGAAUCCAAGUUCGCGGGUUCCGUCAGCACCGGCCGGUCCACCGAGCGCUUGAUCCCGGAACCACCGCCGGAGCAGUCGGAUUCGCCGGAUUCCAUGCAUUCGUUCGUGAACGAGAUCGAGAAGUUUCUCAUGGAGGAUGGGGGGGGAGGUGAAGAUGUCAUCGACGAUGAGUUCUUGGCAGGGUUCUUCUCUGAUGUAUCGGCGGACUCCGGGAAGAGCGAGGUUGCCAGCCCCGAGGCGGAGCCGGUGCCCGCUG
rnacentral:lncRNA from 1 species